rnacentral:rRNA from 1 species
AACGCUAGCUACAGGCUUAACACAUGCAAGUCGAGGGGCAGCGCAGUGUAGCAAUACAUGGGCGGCGACCGGCGCACGGGUGCGUAACGCGUAUCCAACCUUCCCGUUACUCAGGGAUAGCCUUCCGAAAGGGAGAUUAAUACCUGAUGGUGUUUGAAUUCCGCAUGUUAUUCAAACUAAAGAUUUAUCGGUAACGGAUGGGGAUGCGUGACAUUAGGUAGAUGGCGGGGUAACGGCCCACCAUGCCUACGAUGUCUAGGGGUUCUGAGAGGAAGGUCCCCCACACUGGAACUGAGACACGGUCCAGACUCCUACGGGAGGCAGCAGUGAGGAAUAUUGGUCAAUGGUCGGAAGACUGAACCAGCCAAGUAGCGUGAAGGAUGAAGGUUCUAUGGAUUGUAAACAUCUUUUAUACGGGAAUAAAGUGCAGGACGUGUCCUGUUUUGUAUGUACCCUGAGAAUAAGGAUCGGCUAACUCCGUGCCAGCAGCCGCGGUAAUACGGAGGAUCCGAGCGUUAUCCGGAUUUAUUGGGUUUAAAGGGUGCGUAGGUGGUUUAAUAAGUCAGCGGUGAAAGUUUGCAGCUUAACUGUAAAAAUGCCGUUGAAACUGUUAGACUUGAGUGUAAAUGAGGUAGGCGGAAUGCGUGGUGUAGCGGUGAAAUGCUUAGAUAUCACGAAGAACUCCGAUUG